rnacentral:rRNA from 1 species
GACAGAGGGUGCAAACGUUGCUCGGAAUCACUGGGCGUAAAGCGCACGUAGGCGGCUUCUAAGUCAGGGUGAAAUCCUGGAGCUCAACUCCAGAACUGCCUUGAUACUGGAGAGCUUGAGCCCGGAAGAGGAGAGUGGAAUUCCUGGUGUAGCGGUGAAAUGCGCAGAUAUCAGGAAGAACACCAAUGGCGAAGGCAGCUCUCGUGGGACGGUACUGACGCUGAGACGCGAAGCGUGGGGAGCGAACAGG